GAGGCGGAGCAAAACACAAAACACAGUCUCAGUUCAGAUUGUAGGCUGAAACUCGCCUAUAUGAAGUCGGAAUUGCUAGUAAUCGCGGAUCAGCAUGCCGCGGUGAAUACGUUCCCGGGCCUUGUACACACCGCCCGUCACACCAUGAGAGUCGAUAACACCCGAAGCCUGUAGUCUAACAGCAAUGAGGACGCAGUCGAAGGUGGGAUUGAUAAUUAGGGUGAAGUCGUAACAAGGUAAC
rnacentral:rRNA from 1 species